UAUAACGGUCCUAAGGUAGCGAAAUUCCUUGUCGGGUAAGUUCCGACCUGCACGAAUGGCGUAAUGAUGGCCAGGCUGUCUCCACCCGAGACUCAGUGAAAUUGAACUCGCUGUGAAGAUGCAGUGUACCCGCGGCAAGACGGAAAGACCCCGUGAACCUUUACUAUAGCUUGACACUGAACAUUGAGCCUUGAUGUGUAGGAUAGGUGGGAGGCUUUGAAGUGUGGACGCCAGUCUGCAUGGAGCCGACCUUGAAAUACCACCCUUUAAUGUUUGAUGUUCUAACGUGGACUCGUAAUCCGGGUUGCGGACAGUGUCUGGUGGGUAGUUUGACUGGGGCGGUCUCCUCCUAAAGAGUAACGGAGGAGCACGAAGGUUGGCUAAUCCUGGUCGGACAUCAGGAGGUUAGUGCAAUGGCAUAAGCCAGCUUGACUGCGAGCGUGACGGCGCGAGCAGGUGCGAAAGCAGGUCAUAGUGAUCCGGUGGUUCUGAAUGGAAGGGCCAUCGCUCAACGGAUAAAAGGUACUCCGGGGAUAACAGGCUGAUACCGCCCAAGAGUUCAUAUCGACGGCGGUGUUUGGCACCUCGAUGUCGGCUCAUCACAUCCUGGGGCUGAAGUAGGUCCCAAGGGUAUGGCUGUUCGCCAUUUAAAGUGGUACGCGAGCUGGGUUUAGAACGUCGUGAGACAGUUCGGUCCCUAUCUGCCGUGGGCGCUGGAGAACUGAGGGGGGCUGCUCCUAGUACGAGAGGACCGGAGUGGACGCAUCACUGGUGUUCGGGUUGUCAUGCCAAUGGCACUGCCCGGUAGCUAAAUGCGGAAGAGAUAAGUGCUGAAAGCAUCUAAGCACGAAACUUGCCCCGAGAUGAGUUCUCCCUGAGACUUAGAGUCUCCUGAAGGAACGUUGAAGACGACGACGUUGAUAGGCCGGGUGUGUAAGCGCAGCGAUGCGUUGAGCUAACCGGUACUAAUGAACCGUGAGGCUUAACCUU
rnacentral:rRNA from 1 species